rnacentral:lncRNA from 10 species
GUGCUGACCUCUUGGAUGAGAGCCCUGACCUCAUAGGAUAUCUGAGCUUGUCAUAAUUCAGGUGGGUUCUGUAGGGAAGCAGGGGCUCGUGGGGAGUGGGAGGAAGCUGGGGAGAAGAUGAGUUGAGAGCAGUCCAGUGUGAGGGAAAGUGGGGAUCCUGGGCCAACUUACCAUUAAGAGGGUCCAGUCCUGUGACUGCUGUGAAGUAACCAGGAUUCCACAUAGAGAUGGGGCUCAAAGUCAGCCCAGGAGCAGCACUGUGGUCCCAGAUGCAGCAUGGCCCUGUUGUGAACGGAAUGAUUGUGAACGGAAUGAUGGCCAAGGAGCUUUAUGCUUCUGCACCGCCAGCUCACACGAUGGUCCGUGUAUUGCCCCGUGGAAAACCGGGGGUGGAAAGCUGUCUCCACGUUCUGCUGCCGAAGCAGCAAGCUGAUUCACACAUCUUGAAGGCACAGUGGAACAUGGAAGGGUGCAUAUGAGACUUGAUUUUGAGGAUGAAACUUCCUGUCUGAAUCGCUAAGUCUCCCAGCAGGGGUGUUAAUGUCCCUGUGAGAUGCAGGCUUCCCACAGACACACCCAGGUUGCGAGUGGGUUCAACAUGGUCACAGGAGCUUCAAAUGGUAAGAUGGCAAGAUCUGGUAGCAUACUGAGACCACCAACCAGGAAUGGAGGCUUGCUCCCAAGUAACUAAACAUGGACUUGUCUCUGACACGGAAACAAUGUGAAACACAGAAGGCUUUUGAGACUCAGAGGCACUCCAACAAUGAUACUUGAAAACCAGAACAGAGUUUGACACAGAUGGAUGCUUUCCAAAUGUCAUGUCAUUUUUUCAUAUGUCAAGGGCGACCCAAUGUUUGCUUCCUGUUCCCUAGGUGAUCCUGAUGCUCAUGGCCAUGCAUUGAGAACAACUGUGUAAG